rnacentral:rRNA from 1 species
UACGUAGGGUGCAAGCGUUGUCCGGAAUCAUUGGGCGUAAAGCGCGCGUAGGUGGCUUCGUAAGUCCGUUGUGAAAGUCAAAGGCUCAACCUUUGAAUGCCGAUGGAUACUGCGAAGCUAGAGUACGGAAGAGGCGAGUGGAAUUCCUGGUGUAGCGGUGGAAUGCGCAGAUACUCAGGAGGAACACCGGUGGCGAAGGCGGGUCUCUGGGCCGAUACUGACGCUGAGGAGCGAAAGCGUGGGGAGCGAACAGG